rnacentral:rRNA from 1 species
AAUCACUUGUUCUUUAAAAUAAGGACUAGUAUGAAUGGCAUCACGAAGGUUAUACUGUCUCCUUUUUCCAAUCAGUGAAACUGAUCUUCCCGUGAAGAAGCGGGAAUCCAACUAUAAGACGAGAAGACCCUACGGAGCUUUAAACACAAUGUCAUCUGUCCCAGCAAACAUCUUAAAAACUUGCCCAGCAUUUUGACUAUUAGUUUUAGGUUGGGGUGACCGCGGAGUAAAACUUAACCUCCACAUUGAAUAAAUACUAUUUAAACUAAGAGAUACACCUCUAAGCAUCAAUAAAUUGACAUUCAUUGACCCAAUAUUUUGAUCAACGAACCAAGUUACCCUAGGGAUAACAGCGCAAUCCACUUUGAGAGUCCCUAUCGACAAGAGGGUUUACGACCUCGAUGUUGGAUCAAGGUAUCCCAGUGGUGCAGCCGCUACUAAAGGUUCGUUUGUUCAACGAUUAAAA